AUUGAACGCUGGCGGCAGGCCUAACACAUGCAAGUCGAACGGUAACAGGAAGCAGCUUGCUGCUUUGCUGACGAGUGGCGGACGGGUGAGUCAUGUCUGGGAAACUGCCUGAUGGAGGGGGAUAACUACUGGAAACGGUAGCUAAUACCGCAUAACGUCGCAAGACCAAAGAGGGGGACCUUAGGGCCUCUUGCCAUCGGAUGUGCCCAGAUGGGAUUAGCUAGUAGGUGGGGUAACGGCUCACCUAGGCGACGAUCCCUAGCUGGUCUGAGAGGAUGACCAGCCACACUGGAACUGAGACACGGUCCAGACUCCUACGGGAGGCAGCAGUGGGGAAUAUUGCACAAUGGGCGCAAGCCUGAUGCAGCCAUGCCGCGUGUAUGAAGAAGGCCUUCGGGUUGUAAAGUACUUUCAGCGGGGAGGAAGGGAGUAAAGUUAAUACCUUUGCUCAUUGACGUUACCCGCAGAAGAAGCACCGGCUAACUCCGUG
rnacentral:rRNA from 1 species